rfam:Aureococcus anophagefferens unplaced genomic scaffold ATRANscaffold_117, whole genome shotgun sequence.
CGGCGAGUGAUGUAGUGGUAACAUUAGUCGUUGCCAUCGACUAUCCCCGGGUUCGAUUCCCGGCUCGCCGA